UGCUGGAUAGCUCACUCGGUUAAAGCAUUGGUCUGCGAAGCAGAAGUGACUAUCACGACGCGGGUUUGAGCCCCGGUCCUACAA